GUAACAUACCUGUGUACAAUAUCUUGAAAAGGUGAAGACAAAAGCUUUUACAAUCUGUUACAAACUUAAUGGCAUUCUCCGUUAUCACCAUCAGCUGGCUGGAUGUGGUCAGGUAUUGCGGUCAAGUAUCUGAAGGUACAGUGCAGUUCAGUGGGGACGUUGCAGGCGCAUGAUUUGGGGCAGUCACCGCUCGACGGCAGCACAGCAGCCAAGAACAACAGAGCCUUCAGCAGCCACCUCCACAGACAAAGGGCGUGACUUCAGCAGGUGGAAGGAGUAGCAUGUAGCUGCAGUUCCAGAGGCUGCCCUUUCAGGACUCUAUUUUCAGGACCACAAUUCUCGGACCCUAACUAUAAGGCGGGUCUUGCCAAGGAAGUGAGUGGGUAAUAAUAGUAAUGUGACAGGACUGCAUUUCCACCAAAAAUGGAAGAAGAGCACAUCAAGCCCUGUUGAAGUGGAGGAGACGAUUGGAAAAACAAAAGAGAAAAGAAGGAAGAUCACUAAAUUACUGUUACCUACUUCACAAUUUGGGUUUUAAUAUUGAAGAGGAAAAGUCAAAUGUUAAUCAAAUGUAAUUUCUAUUGUUUUCUUGCAUCUCUCUCAUCUCUCUCUGUCUCUCUUUCUCGCAGGGAUCGUUGAUAAAACUUUCAUUCUCCUGUUUGUCUGUAUAUCAUGUGGA